UCUACGGAGAGUUUGAUCCUGGCUCAGGACGAACGCUGGCGGCGUGCUUAACACAUGCAAGUCGAACGGGAUCUGACCAGCUUGCUGGUUGGUGAGAGUGGCGAACGGGUGAGUAACACGUGACCAACCUGCCUCUUACAUUGGGACAACCAAAAGAAAUUCUGGCUAAUACCAAAUACUCCGCACAUAUCACAUGAUGUAUGUGGGAAAGCUUUUGCGGUAAGAGAUGGGG
rnacentral:rRNA from 1 species